rnacentral:rRNA from 1 species
GCAUUUGCGUCCCGCAGGGGCGCCGCAGCCGGUCGGGCACACCUGGCGUGUGUCGAGGACGCCUGGGGAUCUGCACGUGGCGGGCGGCCCGAUGUCGCGUCUCCCCCGGGAGCGCGGAUCGGCGAGUCGCACGCGGUGCCGUCUCUCGCGGUGCGUCGCCCGACCGAGGAGCGGCCCGCAACCCCGUCCUCGCGGCGGGGUCGCGCGGGCUCUCGCUCUCCGUGCGAGCGUCGCCCUCCGUCUAGGCCCGAGGUCGGUGCCGUCCCCUCCGCGGGACGCCCGCUUCAACCGGUGGCCGAAGGAGGCGCGCGCCGAGCGAGUGCGGCGAGUAGGUCGGUCACCCACCCGACCCGUGUUGAAACACGGACCAAGGAGUCUAACACGUGCGCGAGUCGGUGGGACUUGUACAGGCCCGCGGGCGCAGAAAAAGCAAAAAAAAAGUUCGUCGAGAUUCCGCUCCCCCCACCGGGGACGGACGCAUCGACGGCCCGCUCGUGACCCCCGAAAGCUCGGGCGGAGUCGGAGCGCACACGUUGGGACCCGAAAGAUGGUGAACUAUGCCCGGGCAGGACGAAGCCGGAGGAAACUCUGGUGGAGGUCCGAAGCGGUUCUGACGUGCAAAUCGAUCGCCAGACCCGGGUAUAGGGGCGAAAGACUAAUCGAACCGUCUAGUAGCUGGUUCCCUCCGAAGUUUCCCUCAGGAUAGCUGGCACUCGAGGAAACCGAACCAGUCUCGCCCGGUCGAGCGAAUGAUUAGAGGCCCUUGGGGCCGAAACGACCUCAACCUAUUCUCAAACUUCUAACGGGCGAAAGACCCCGCUUGUCUUACGGAAUCGGGGGUGCACAUGUACAAGUGCCCAGUGGGCCAUUUUU